UCCCUGGUUGAUCCUGCCAGUAGUCAUAUGCUUGUCUCAAAGAUUAAGCCAUGCAUGUCUCAGUGCAAGCCGCAUUAAGGUGAAACCGCGAAAGGCUCAUUAAAUCAGUUGUGGUUCCUUAGAUCGUACCCAAGUUACUUGGAUAACUGUGGUAAUUCUAGAGCUAAUACAUGCCGACAGAGUUCCGACCGUCGCGGCGCCCUCGGGCGUCGCUCGCGGGAGGAACGCUUUUAUUAGAUCAAAACCGGCCCGUCGCGGCGCGCUUCGUGCGCGUCCCGAUCGCGGCCCGCGCAAAGACCUGGUGACUCUGAAUAACUUCGAGCUGAUCGCACGGUCUCCGUACCGGCGACGCAUCUUUCAAAUGUCUGCCUUAUCAACUGUCGAUGGUAGGUUCCAUGCCUACCAUGGUGGUAACGGGUAACGGGGAAUCAGGGUUCGAUUCCGGAGAGGGAGCCUGAGAAACGGCUACCACAUCCAAGGAAGGCAGCAGGCGCGCAAAUUACCCACUCCCGGAACGGGGAGGUAGUGACGAAAAAUAACGAUACGGGACUCAUCCGAGGCCCCGUAAUCGGAAUGAGAACACUUUAAAACCAUUUAAACGAGGAUCAAUUGGAGGGCAAGUCUG
rnacentral:ncRNA from 1 species